CACACUUAAUAUGAUCCCAUGUUUUUUUUGUUGCAGGUGUGUUCUAAAGGAAGACUAUUGAAGUAGAAGAAUAGACGUAUAUCUUGCUGUUUGAGUAGGUGUAUUCUAAAGGAAGAUGAUGAAGUUUGAUAGAAGAAUGGGCCCAUAUCUUACUAUUCCAGCGGGUUCAUGGAGAGCAUCUAAUGGAUUUUCUUGCACGAGCACGACCGGGGCGCUGGCCUUGGGCGUGAGCCCCGCGUACAGUACGAGAGCGGCCACCAGCCCUGCUUAUGGUGAAGGAAGAAGAGCAAGAGGAGGGUUGCCGCCGCCAUGGAGGCUCUCUGGUGUGCACACUGAGGAGAGGUCACCAUUAACGAGCGGGAUGAAGAGGCGUGCACAUGGUGGAGAGGUUGCCAUCAACGAGCAGGUGGUGGCGCAGAGCAGCGACGGAGGCGUGCGAAUCAGGGGAGAAGACGGCCCGAGCGUCCUCAUCGAGAGAAGUUGUAGACCUCCCCGCUGAAGAGCUGAUGGUGGCUAGCUCCACCCGCCUCAUUCAUUUUUUUCUCUUCCUCCUGAGCUGCAACUCACUGCUCUCCCUGAGUUCCUCCAUCUCUUAUCAUUGCCAUUUUUGCUGAUUGUGUCCUAAGUCAAUAUAUAUAUUUGUUGUUAUAGUAUUUCAGAGAUCUGUCAUUGAGCAUCUCCUUCACCUGAUUUCAUCUUCUUCCAUAAAAGUCUGCAGGACCAAGCAUUGAUUUCUGAUUUUAUUAUGGAAGCAUUGGAGGUGGAGGUAUGAAAACGUACAUAAUACAUACUUGUUUACUUUCUUUCAUUGUAAAGUGUACAUGUGGCUUCUCUUUUAUCCUGUUUAU